UUUAAUUUUAAAAUUUUGCAUUUCCGUCAAGCUUAGGUAAUUUAUUAAUAUUAUUAAUAUAUAUUUUUAUUAAAUUUUAUUUUAGUCGUUCGUUGAUUCGGUCGUCGUACGAUUCAUGUUUGGUUUGUAUUAUAAAUUUUUUUUUUAAAAAGAAAAAUAAAAGAGAAAAGUAUGACAAUUGCAUGCAACUCAUACAUACAUUCUAAGUCCCACGUGAAAAGCCCAUCACCAUUUUGUAUGUGGCCUAUAUUAGAAGCCCAUUUUUUUUUAUAAGUAGCAGAUCUUUUUUUUAGCAGUAUAUAUAUGCUGCAUUAUCCAUUUCAAUUCUUAGGUUUCUUUCCGUUUAUUUCGCAAACCCUAGCCGACCUAAUCCCUAACUUUCACUCUGAGAAUACUCAUCCCUCAUCUCUCCAAAUCUCUCUAAAAUCCGCAUUGUGACUAGUUGUUUCUCACGUCCAAUCUUUGCCAAAUUACCUCUGAAGCCUUCCAAGCAUGGUGGGUCUAACGACCCGUCGACUACUCGUGCUUCGGAGUCUACGCAGGGUUAGCUGUUUGCCAAGAUUCACGUGGAUAAGCAAGUAGUUAAUGAUUUGAAAGCUGGUCCACUCCGAUUCUUUUGAUUCCUCGGAGGUUUUAUGUUAUUUAAACUACUUCUGUUUUCAAACUCUUAGACCGCAGUAGAACUAGUUAGUAUAUUACAUUGUUAUUGCAGUUUGGGAUUAUCGAUUUGAUCGAUUAUUUACUAUUAGCAUGUCUACUCUGGAUUACUUUAAUAUUAUAUUUAAGGCAUGUUGUUGAGCAUUUUUUGGAUAAUUAAGUUAUUUAUAUUAGAACUGUAAUAUAAAUUGCUAUAUUUAGGUUGGAGUCUCGGUUGCCUCCGAGCAGUUUUCUGCAGGUUUAAAUAUUUAAUUGUUUUCCGCAAGGCUUGCUAUGGUUUUGGUACAACCAUACCCAUACCCUAGCGCCGGUCGCGAUUCAUGAAAUUGGGUCGUGACAAACUUGGUAUCAGAGCUUUGGUUUCAAACCAAGGCCAUUUUCUUGCUAUGUGUUUACUCUGUUAAGUUUGUUAUAGAGUCAUAGGAACUACUGCGGAAUUAGGUUCACGUCUUGUCAUUGAAACGUCAUCUUUUGAUUUUAAAACUUUCUGUCCACACCGAUAGGAUUGCGUCAAGUCAGUCGUUUAUUAUGCUUUGAUAUGAUGUUUUAUUUUAUUGAUGUUAUUUCACUUGGGUGAAUUAAUUGCUUUUGAUUUCUUCUUAUGUUGCUAAUUUUUCCUUAUGUCAUACUUGGGUAUGAUGUUAGUUGCCUUAUCUUAAUGAUGUUGCUCUUCACUUGGGUGAUAUAUGUUGGCUGUUAUGCUUUAAGGAUGUUGUUGACGUUAAAUUAUUUUCUGAGUACUUCUGGUUUGGCCGAGAGCCUUGAUUGUUUUAAAAAAAAAUAUAUAUAUUUGUCAGGAUUUGACACUGUUUUGAGUUUAAAUAAUUUUUGACCGAAAAAUCUUUUUACACGUUUAGGAAUUACGUUGUUGGCUACGUAUUAGUUUUAAAAUUACCUUAAGGAGAUAAAUUUUGCCUAACUGGUGUUUUGAUGCAAAAAGUCAAAAGAGUGGUCUAGACACGACACCAUAAAAUAUUAUUUUAAGUAUCUAAAAAAAAAAAUGAUGAAAUUCAUAUAUUUCAAAAAUUGUGUAUUUGAUUGAAAAUUGAAAAAAAAAUGAAUUUCUCUUAUUUUUUAAAAAAAAAUUGAAAUGCUACAUCUGAAUCGUUGUUCCAAAACGACGGUUUUCAAAAAAAAAAAUUAUUAUUAAUUAUUUUUUUUUAAAAAAAGGGAAAUAUCAUUUUGACAUUUGUGAUUUUACCAUUUGUAGUUUUUCAGUACUUUGGUGUUGUUGGUCAUGACUGCGAAUUGCUAAUUUUGAAUGAAACUUGUAUUUCUGAAAAGAUUAUUAAAGAAUAAUUGUUUUUCACUCGGGCGAUGAGUCUGAUGUUGUUAUCGUGUGACGUCGAGCUUUUUAUUUUGAAAAUAUUAAGAUCUAUUUUAAAAUGCGUUUUUCGGACUUGAGAAUGUUUGUAAACGUUUUACAAUUGGUUAUUAGGGGUUCGACUUGGGUCACCCAAAUUGGGAGUUGAGCUUGGAAGUGGUAAUCACUCGGCCAACUCGACAAUUUUUAAUUUGAAGCGUUUGGGAACAAUUAUAUCUAAUGUUUUAUAAAAGAGGUUUUCCGGAAAAUGAAUUUUUACACUGUGGGGCUCGACAUAAACUUGAAACCUAUUUUGUAAAUACUAUCUUUCGAAAUCGGUUUAAUGCGUACUUUUGAUCAGUAUCACAAUUCGUUUUAUUCUGAGUUGACGUUUUGAAUAUAUUGCACGAUUUAAUAUUUUAAUCGUUGUUGGACUAUUUAAUAUUACUGUCAUGUCGGUAGGAAUUCGUGGAUCAUAUAAGAUGUUGUGUGCUUAACCUUUUGAAAUUGUUUUGGUUAUCUACCUUAAUGAGUAGUUGUUUUACUGCAAGAUGCAUUAGUGCUUAUCGGUUGUGUAAUUAAUUCUUGAUCUAUAUUACUAUGUUAUUAUUAUUGUAUCUCGUGCUUUAUUAAAUUAAGCCAUAUCAGUUUUUGUCCUCAUUGACCUCAUUGUGUGGAGUAACACGUGAGAGUAUUCCUCGCUAGUUUUCUUUGGCUUAAUUUUGGUAUUAGUGUCGAUGUGCGAUUCAAACCUUUAUUUUAUUUUACCCUACGAUUAGUUUUGACGUUAUAAUUGUUUUAGCCGGAUAUAGCGUUUGACCCUGGAAAUCGAAGUGAUUAAUUUUCUUAUCAAUAAAUUUGAGGAGCGAUUCUCAAGAGCUGUUCGCAGAUUCAAAUCCCGAAACUUGUCCUAGUUGGAGGAGGACGAAUUAAUUAUAUUAGUCAGCACCGGUGAAAUAUUUCUUCUCGUGUGAGUUUUCCUCGUGCGUGAAAUUUUAAACGCUAUGUGUUUCUACGUCGGACUCGUUUGUGAUAAGUCGAUAGUUCAGCUGUUAGUGUUCUAGAAUUAGAUAUGGAAUCUGUGAAUCGAGGUUGAUCAGUGUAGUAAUACAAUAGUGUUUUCUUUAGAUAGAUUGGUGAAAUAUCGAAACUGAUAUUGAAGCUGUGAAGGCGGUCGUGUUGCUUUGAUGCCUUUGGAAAAUUUUCAAAUUGAUUUGAAGAGAAAUUCGUUGUUAGGUAAAUUUUAGUUUCGCUGUUGAUUUUAGGUUAUUUCGUUUUGAGAAUUCAAAUUGGUGGACUAGGAUUAUGGAGAUGGGCAAAUAUGUCAAAAUGGACGAGUGUACGUCUUACAGAGUGUAAUGUCUAGAGAAUGUUUCGAAGGAAAAAAAAAAUUGAUUUCAAAUGUUAACGUGUUAAAAUUCAUUGAAAUGUUUUAUCACAUAAUUCUGCACAGACAUGUCAUGAACAUGCAUUUUGGAAUGCCACGAAUAGGAAACUGCAUUGAGCAUUAAGCAUGAUCACUAAUUAAAAGAGAAAUAAAUAAUUGAUACAUGCAUUUAGAACAUUCAUCACGGCAUUAAAUUAUUAGGGUUGAAUGCAACUCUUUGGGGAUGAGAGUUGUCAUCACCCUGGCGCAGAAUUAUGUAAAAUAAAUUUUGUCAGUGAGAUUUUUCAAGAAAAAUAUUUUGUUUAAAACUGGCGAGUUAUAUUGUGAAAAUAGUGUUUAAAAGGUUAUUAAAUUUCAAACGGUUUUGAAAUUUUUAUUUGGUUGGGAACUAGACAAAUACUCUGUGACGACGGUAGUGAUUUAAGAGAAAUGGCAUUGUAAGGAUUUAUUCUAUAUUGUUGGGGUAUCAGCGUUUGGUAAAUAGGAGCUAUGGUUAUAAGUUGCACUCAAGGUUUAGUUGUGCUAGGUGCCAAAAAAUAUUGAGUUCAGAUUAAAAAGUUGUGUCAGCUUAGAGUAUAUGAUUUGAGGAGUUUUGUUUUGAAGAACAUUGGUUAUACUCUGCGUGUGUUUUUAUAAAGAACUAAAAACAAUUUUGUUUUUACAGAUUUAAUAUCUGUUUAAAAAAUUUUGAUACCGGUAUAGAAACUAUUUUGUAAACAAAGGGAUUCUCAUUUGCAAAAUUUAUUUUUAGGAAAAGUGAUGUAAUUUUAUCAGCUUGAUUUAAAGUAGAUUUAAGACUUUUCUAAACGAAAGAUUAUAUAAAAAUCGUGAAUUUAUUUUGAAAGUAAAUUCGAUUACAAAAAAAAAAAAAAUGAGAGUGUUUAUUUUGUUAGUACGUUUACGAACAAAGGGAUUUUUCAACGGGUUAAUUAUUUUUGGUUUAAAGUGAAAAAUAAAUUGAGGUGCCAGUGAUUUCAAAUUGAAAGUGGAUUGCGUUUUAAUAUAUUUGUGUUUACAUAAAGUGUUUUUUUUUUUUUUUUGGAAAAAUUCUGUUUUGAGCAUAACCAAUAAUCAAUUUGAGUGCGAUUGACUUUUAAUGAUCUUCAGUAGGAUUCGGGGUUUUGGUGAUUAAAAAUAAAUGUCGAGGAUGGAAAAUAUUGUUGUCAGAAAGUUUAAGUUAUAUAUUCCUUAGAAAUUAUGUGUUUUCUUACGUCUUGACUCGAAAGGUAGAUCGUAUUGUCGAGCUGAUCUUAGUUAGUUAACCGAGACGAUUCUAGUGGUAUUUAGUUUCAGCAAUUAUUUUGGGAGAGCGUAUGUAAGAAGGACGACAUUUGAAUUGCUCGUAUUCUUGUUAAUGGGAGUAGUAAGUUUCUCAUGAGGUAUUUGGCGUUGUGAUCACAUAAUGAUAUAGUGCAUAGGCGUGAAGAGAUGUAAGAUUAUUUUCAGUGAGAGUGUCUUUAUAUUUCGGUUUGUAGCAUGAAGUUUGGCUUAGUAAGAUUACGAUUUGAAUUUUGGGAUUGUUCCCAAACGUGUAGUGUUGCUUUGGCAGUCUUUGAGAGUUGAGCCUGUUAUUUUCGAAAUUUUUCAUCGUAUAGCGUUUUGGUUAUUUCCGGUUAGAAAAUAAAUUUUUAAUUCGUUCACCCGUGGUGUUUGAGAAGUCGUUGAUGUACCAAAUUGUUGAACUCGGAAUAAUUUCGUGUAUGCGUGUGGUGAUCAUUCGAGUUUUUAAAUCAGUUUUAAACUCGAGAUCGAAUUUGUAUAAGCCGAGGAGAAUGUAAUACCCCAUAUAUUUUCAGCGUGUUUUUGGUUGAUAUAUGUUUCGUUUCGCUUUCACUCUCCUCAGUUUUCAUUGUGGUAGGAUUACCUUUGAUGAGAGUUUGUUUAAUCUAGUGAGAUUGUGGUUGUGUUUUGCUUAGAUUGAAUUAAGCGAUGUAAUUUUGUUUCCGUUGAAUUGUCACCUAGUCAUAAAGUGAUUUUGGGAAUCUGAAAUUUGCUACGAUUAGUUGUUUUCUUUCGUUCCGUUGAGGAUGCUUUGCUCCGUACUUUUAGAGUUACAUGUGAUUUGUUUUGCGUGAUAUAAUGGAUUUUAUAUUACUUUGGUUUAUGGUAAAUUCGAGGACGAAUUUUUAAUAAGUUGGGGAGAAUGUAAUAUCCCGUAUUUUUCUUUUAUUUUACUAUUAAAUUAUUUCAAAUUUUAAUUUUAAAAUUUUGCAUUUCCGUCAAGCUUAGGUAAUUUAUUAAUAUUAUUAAUAUAUAUUUUUAUUAAAUUUUAUUUUAGUCGUUCGUUGAUUCGGUCGUCGUACGAUUCAUGUUUGGUUUGUAUUAUAAAUUUUUUUUUUAAAAAGAAAAAUAAAAGAGAAAAGUAUGACAAUUGCAUGCAACUCAUACAUACAUUCUAAGUCCCACGUGAAAAGCCCAUCACCAUUUUGUAUGUGGCCUAUAUUAGAAGCCCAUUUUUUUUUAUAAGUAGCAGAUCUUUUUUUUAGCAGUAUAUAUAUGCUGCAUUAUCCAUUUCAAUUCUUAGGUUUCUUUCAGUUUAUUUCGCAAACCCUAGCCGACCUAAUCCCUAACUUUCACUCUGAGAAUACUCAUCCCUCAUCUCUCCAAAUCUCUCUAAAAUCCGCAUUGUGACUAGUUGUUUCUCACGUCCAAUCUUUGCCAAAUUACCUCUGAAGCCUUCCAAGCAUGGUGGGUCUAACGACCCGUCGACUACUCGUGCUUCGGAGUCUACGCAGGGUUAGCUGUUUGCCAAGAUUCACGUGGAUAAGCAAGUAACGUACGACCGAGCAGUGAGGACAAUAGAGGUGUACUAGUACGAGCAUAUUACCACAUCGAUCUUGUUGUAGAGUGGAUAGCGGUCACUGUGCUUAGUUUGUGGACCUAGCUAGAGGCCAAUUUUGAAGUCCAGAAAUCAGCUGUAUAUGUUAGUUUCUGACUUUUGUGAGCGCUGCAGUAGUGGUCCUGUGUUGACAGACUAGUAGCCUAGACAGCAGUUCAUUUUGAUUGUAUAUAUUAACUGCUGUCAUUGUUUUAUAUGCUUUUGAUAAGCUACGUGUUUGAUAUAUAAUCUACGGCCCCAGAGGCCGGUGAAAUGUUUGGAUACACUAACUGAUGUAUAUAGUACCGCGAGGCCAGUUCGUGCAGGGUACGGUAACUAGAGCCCGCGAG